rnacentral:rRNA from 1 species
UACGGGGGGGCAAGCGUUGUUCGGAAUUACUGGGCGUAAAGGGCUCGUAGGCGGCCAACUAAGUCGGAUGUGAAAUCCCCAGGCUUAACCUGGGAACUGCAUCCGAUACUGGAUGGCUUGAAUUCGGGAGAGGGAUGCAGAAUUCCAGGUGUAGCGGUGAAAUGCGUAGAUAUCAGGAGGAACACCGGUGGCGAAGGCGGCUAUCUGGACAGAAACUGACGCUGAGGCGCGAAAGCUAGGGGAGCAAACAGG